rnacentral:rRNA from 1 species
AUUGAACGCUGGCGGCAGGCCUAACACAUGCAAGUCGAGCGGCAGCGACUUAACUGAACCUUCGGGGAACGUUAAGGGCGGCGAGCGGCGGACGGGUGAGUAAUGCCUGGGAAUAUGCCUGAUGUGGGGGAUAACUAUUGGAAACGAUAGCUAAUACCGCAUAAUCUCUUCGGAGCAAAGAGGGGGACCUUCGGGCCUCUCGCGUCAGGAUUAGCCCAGGUGGGAUUAGCUUGUUGGUGAGGUAAUGGCUCACCAAGGCAACGAUCCCUAGCUGGUCUGAGAGGAUGAUCAGCCACACUGGAACUGAGACACGGUCCAGACUCCUACGGGAGGCAGCAGUGGGGAAUAUUGCACAAUGGGGGAAACCCUGAUGCAGCCAUGCCGCGUGUGUGAAGAAGGCCUUCGGGUUGUAAAGCACUUUCAGUAGGGAGGAGGGUAGUGUAGUUAACACCUGCAUUAUUUGACGUUACCUACAGAAGAAGCACCGGCUAACUCCGUGCCAGCAGCCGCGGUAAUACGGAGGGUGCGAGCGUUAAUCGGAAUUACUGGGCGUAAAGCGCAUGCAGGCGGCCUGUUAAGUCAGAUGUGAAAGCCCGGGGCUUAACCUCGGAAUUGCAUUUGAAACUGGCAGGCUAGAGUCUUGUAGAGGGGGGUAGAAUUUCAGGUGUAGCGGUGAAAUGCGUAGAGAUCUGAAGGAAUACCAGUGGCGAAGGCGGCCCCCUGGACAAAGACUGACGCUCAGAUGCGAAAGCGUGGGGAGCAAACAGG